UCGAGUUGAGACAGAAAGGACUCUGUGAGACUUUUGGGUUAUGGAUUUGCGUUUUGAGGAUAUUGAUGCAGAAGUCACGAAGAGUUUAUUUAAUUGUUGUGGAAAUGCUCUGUGUUGCUUUAGAUUAUUAUUCAUUGUACCCUCGCCUUCAACUUGAUAUAUUUUGUCAGAGGGAUAGGGAUUGUAUUGGUUAAUGUCUGUAAUAUUAUUUAUAUAUGUAUGUAUAUAUAUGGAUGUACUCUUUAUGAGUU